GUUCUCAUAUACGGCAGAACAUAUACUAAAAGUCCAACGAUAUAGAGAAGCUUAGCGUGGCCGUUGCGCAAGGACGCCACACGAACAUUAUAAGAAGAUUUUU
rnacentral:snRNA from 1 species